UGCUGGAAAAAGUCCUGAUGGUGAUUAACCUGUCACUCUUCUGUCACACCUCCUCAACAUCAGCAAGAUGGCCUGACCACUCCUGACAGGACCAUUGAUUCAACACCGUGAAACAAACAAAUCAAAAAUAGCAUGCGGAAAACAACCAAGAUGGGAUUUCACUCACUGGUCAUCCUUUCUGACAGAUUUCCUCAUCUUAUUAUUUCCCCACUGGAGCCUAAGCGCUGCACCUGCCAAUGAUUUCAAAAAGGUAAAUGUUUUUCAAAGCUUGUAUAUCAAAAUGCUUCAUUUAAUAUUAGGUACUAAUUUAAUUUAACAUAAGGUGAUAGUUCAACCAAACAUGACAAUUAUAUAUUCACCCUGAUAUAAUUUCAAACUUGUGUAACUGUAGUUUUUACUGCAUUUUUAAAGAUUUUUUAAAGAAAAAAAUGCAUUUUUAAAGAAUGAUGAAGAAUAAUUCUGAUAAAAAUUAGCAUUUUCUGUUCAGUAACACUAAUUAUAGCAAUAAUAAGUUAUUAAAGUCACGCAUGCUUUGCUAUAUAUUGAUCAUGUGGUGUAAACAACACAUUUAAGCAAACACCAAAAAUGUGCCAUUUCUCAUCAUGUCAAUGUGAGCAUGAUUCUGUCAUGUUUGAAAGAUGCUCCUGAAGUCUCCUGUGUUUGUCUCCCGCUGUCAUCUCGAUGCUGAGGCCCAGCAAGCUGGCAGGGGCUGACCCUGAGGUGCUGGGAAUUGUGGGUAGUGGGAUUACCUAUGGUGGCAUAGUCUUGUGCUUCCUCUGUGAGACUGGCUGGGCUGAGCAGAUGGCAGUGGCCUGGCAGUCACAGCAUGGAGGCCUCUCAAGUGACAAGAAGGUUCCUUUUUUUCCUUCUGGAGCACAUUAGAAAAAAUUACAGUGCUGACAUUUCUUCAUUAAUCAUGGCGGCCGGUGGUGGCAGCGAGUGGCGCGGAGCCUUGGCAGACGCGAGUGUCCCCGUUGUGCUGGCAGCCGCGCCCCAGACGCCAGCCUUUCAAUGCCACAGCUGUUGCUGCCAUCAGCCUCACAAACAUCUGACACCCACCCCAGAUCAGCCCAGUCCACACCGGCUUCCUGUGCAUCCCAGAAGGGCUGAGGCCUGGUCUGGUGCAGCCCAUGUCCGCAUGGAUGGAUGGAUAGAUGGAUGGAUGGAUGGAUGACCUGAAUG
ensembl:lncRNA